rnacentral:rRNA from 1 species
UUGGAGGGCAAGUCUGGUGCCAGCAGCCGCGGUAAUUCCAGCUCCAAUAGCGUAUAUUAAAGUUGUUGCAGUUAAAAAGCUCGUAGUUGAAUUUCGGGGUUGGUAGGUUGGUCAUGCCUCUGGUAUGUACUGGUCUCACUGAUUCCUCCUUCCUGAUGAGCCGUAAUGCCAUUAAUUUGGUGUUGCGGGGAAUUUGGACUGUUACUUUGAAAAAAUUAGAGUGUUUAAAGCAAGCUAACGCUUGAAUACAUUAGCAUGGAAUAAUGAAAUAGGACGUUCGAUCCUAUUUUGUUGGUUUCUAGGAUUGACGUAAUGAUUAAUAGGGAUAGUUGGGGGCAUUAGUAUUCAAUUGUCAGAGGUGAAAUUCUUGGAUUUAUUGAAGACUAACUACUGCGAAAGCAUUUGCCAAGGAUGUUUUCAUUAAUCAAGAACGAAAGUUAGGGGAUCGAAGACGAUCAGAUACCGUCGUAGUCUUAACCAUAAACUAUGCCGACUAGGGAUCGGAUGAUGUUAAUUUUUUAAUGACUCAUUCGGCGCCUUACGGGAAAC